GAUGAACGCUGGCGGCGUGCCUAAUACAUGCAAGUCGAGCGAACAGACGAGGAGCUUGCUCCUCUGACGUUAGCGGCGGACGGGUGAGUAACACGUGGAUAACCUACCUAUAAGACUGGGAUAACUUCGGGAAACCGGAGCUAAUACCGGAUAAUAUAUUGAACCGCAUGGUUCAAUAGUGAAAGACGGUUUUGCUGUCACUUAUAGAUGGAUCCGCGCCGCAUUAGCUAGUUGGUAAGGUAACGGCUUACCAAGGCAACGAUGCGUAGCCGACCUGAGAGGGUGAUCGGCCACACUGGAACUGAGACACGGUCCAGACUCCUACGGGAGGCAACAGUAGGGAAUCUUCCGCAAUGGGCGGAAGCCUGACGGAGCAACGCCGCGUGGGGGAUGAAGGGCUUCGGAUCGUAAAACUCUGUUAAUAGGGAAAAACAAACGUGUAAGGAACUAUGCACGGCUUGACGGUACCUAAUCAGGAGACCACGGCUAACUACGUG
rnacentral:rRNA from 1 species